UGGCUUCUCUCCAGACAAUACAAAUCUUUCACCUUUUACUAAAGAUUUCCACGUAGAGGAGCAAUUUA